AACGAACGCUGGCGGCGUGCUUAACACAUGCAAGUCUAACGGGAAUGUCGGCUUCGGCUGACUAGUACCGUGGCGAACGGGUGAGUAACACGUGGGUAAUCUGCCCUCGAGCUCGGGAUAACCUUGCGAAAGCGAGGCUAAUACCGGAUAAGACCACGCCCUGCCUGCAGGGUGCGGUAAAAGGUGGCCUCUUCUUGAAAGCUAGCACUUGAGGAUGAGACCGCGGCCUAUUAGCUAGUUGGUGAGGUAAUGGCUCACCAAGGCGACGAUAGGUAGCCGGCCUGAGAGGGUGUACGGCCACACUGGCACUGAGACACGGGCCAGACUCCUACGGGAGGCAGCAGUGGGGAAUUUUGCGCAAUGGGGGAAACCCUGACGCAGCAACGCCGCGUGAGUGAUGAAGGCCUUCGGGUUGUAAAGCUCUUUUAGUGGGGAAGAAGCCCUCCCUGGCUAAUAUCCAGGGGGUCUGACGGUACCCACAGAAAAAGUACCGGCUAACUACGUGCCAGCAGCCGCCGUAAUAC
rnacentral:rRNA from 1 species